GUAAUACAUCGGAACGUGCCCAGUCGUGGGGGGAGUAACUACUCGAAAGAGUAGCUAAUACCGCAUACGAUCUGAGGAUGAAAGCGGGGGACCUUCGGGCCUCGCGCGAUUGGAGCGGCCGAUGGCAGAUUAGGUAGUUGGUGGGAUAAAAGCUUACCAAGCCGACGAUCUGUAGCUGGUCUGAGAGGACGACCAGCCACACUGGGACUGAGACACGGCCCAGACUCCUACGGGAGGCAGCAGCC
rnacentral:rRNA from 1 species